GGGCCCGCACAAGCGGUGGAGUAUGUGGUUUAAUUCGAUGCAACGCGAAGAACCUUACCUGGUCUUGACAUCCUGCGAACUUUCUAGAGAUAGAUUGGUGCCUUCGGGAACGCAGUGACAGGUGCUGCAUGGCUGUCGUCAGCUCGUGUCGUGAGAUGUUGGGUUAAGUCCCGUAACGAGCGCAACCCUUGUCCUUAUUUGCCAUCAUUUAGUUGGGAACUCUAACGGGACUGCCGGUGCAAACCGCGAGGAAGGUGGGGGAUGACGUCAAAUCAUCACGGCCCUUACGUCCUGGGCUACACACGUGCUACAAUGGCCGGUACAGAGGGCAGCCACACCGCAAGGUGGAG
rnacentral:rRNA from 1 species